CCGAUUCCCCGCCCCUCCAGUCCCGGCGUGAGCCCGGAGCUCCUGUGGCGUGCAGUGGAUGGUACGGGGCAUCCGCGAUGGUUCAGGUGCAGGCGGUUCACGGGCCUGGUGGAGCAGUAGCUAAAUGCACCACCGCAGGUGCCAGUCCUGCGGUCAUAGAACUAUAAGCGCACCAGAGGGUAGAAGCCCCACGUGGGGAGGCCGAGUGGGCGAGCGAGAAAGGAAAGUUUCCCGAAUCGUGAACACGGAAUAAGAGAUCGCGAGGCCUGCUGGGAGACGACAUGCUGAAUGAGUGGUAUCUUUUCCACAGUUGUAUCCUUACUGCCUGAGCCAAGAAUCUGCACAUAGGGACAUGGGUUCAAGACCUCGUCCAGGAAGAUCCCACAUGCCGUGGAGCAACUAAGCCCGUGCGCUGCAACUACUGAGCCUGCGCUCUAGAACCUGCGAGCCACAACUACUGAGCCCAUGUGUCACAACUACUGAAGCCUGUGUGCCUAGAGCCCAUGCACUGCAACAAGAGAAGCCACAAUGAGAAGCAUGUGCACCGCAAUGAAGAGUAGCCCCUGCUCAUCACAACUAGAGAAAGCCCACGCACAGCAACGAAGACCCAACGCAGCCAAAAAUAAAAUACAUUUAUUUAAAAAAUAAAAUAAAAUUAAGAAUGUCUGUUCAUCAAAAGAUACCAUUAGGAAGGUGAAAAGCCAAGUCAUGACUAGAAGAAGAUACCUGAGAAAGAACUUGAACUAUAAUGAAGGAGAUUGGUUUGUAAUUUUUUCUGUAUGUGCUGUCCUCUGACUGAGUAAUCCUAUUCCUAGGAUUUAUUCUCAACAGAAAUGCCUGUGUCUGUUCACUAAAAUUCAUGUACAAGAAUGUUUAUAGCAGUUCUGCUCAUAAUAGCCAAAAACCAGACACAACCCAAGUGUCCAACAAGAGAAGAGUGGAUAAAUAUAUUGUAGUAUAUUCAUACAGAUGGAACAUUAUAAAACUAUUAAAAAGUAAGAACCACUGAUACAUGCAACAAAAUGGAUAAAUCUCACAGACACUAUGUUGAGCAAUAGAAGACAGAUGCAAAAGAUUACUUAGGUAUGAUUACAUUAUAUGAAGUUGAAAAACAAUCAUAUGAGUCAGUGGUGAUAGAAGUAAGAUGGCUGGUUACUUCUGCGAAGGUACAGUAAUAAUGGGGCUACUGGAAAUGUACUAUAUUGUUAUCUUGCUGGUGAUUAUAAGUAUGCAUUCAUAUGUAUAAUUCAUCAGACUAAUAAGUGAGUUCAUCAAGGUUACAGAAUGUAAGAUCAAUAUACAAAA